rnacentral:tRNA from 1 species
GUGCCCGUAGCUCAGCGGAUAGAGCGUUGGGCUCCGGACCCAAAGGUCGUGGGUUCGAAUCCCGCCGGGCACGCCA